rnacentral:rRNA from 1 species
AGGGCACCACCAGGAGCGGAGCCCGCGGCUUAAUUUGACUCAACACGGGAAAACUCACCCGGCCCGGACACUGUAAGGAUUGACAGAUCGAGAGCUCUUUCUUGAUUCGGUGGUUGGUGGUGCAUGGCCGUUCUUAGUUGGUGGAGCGAUUUGUCUGGUUUAUUCCGAUAACGAGCGAGACUCCGGCCUACUAAAUAGUGACUGGAUCCCUGGUCCAGUGCACUUCUUAGAGGGACAAGCGGCGUUCAGCCGCAUGAAAUGGGGCAAUAACAGGUCUGUGAUGCCCUUAGAUGUCCGGGGCUGCACGCGCGCUACACUGGAGGAGGCAGCGUGCCUUUACCAUUGCCGAAAGGUAUUGGCAAACCGAUGAAAAUCCUCCGUGAUCGGGAUCGGGAAUUGCAAUUAUUUCCCUCGAACGAGGAAUUCCCAGUAAGUGUGGGUCAUCAGCUCGCGCUGAUUACGUCCCUGCCCUUUGUACACACCGCCCGUCGCUGCCCGGGACUGAGCCGUUUCGAGAAA